rnacentral:lncRNA from 1 species
GUCUAUUGGAGCUGGUUGGUAUGUCUAGGUAAUGUGUCGAACACGUUUUUUUAUGUAUCGCGUUUUAAAACUGCAUUAACCUAAUGUCAAGUUUAAGUGUACUGUUAGCUAGCUUAUGUUAGCUGGCUGGCUCGCUAGCUAACGUUAUGUGUAUGCUCGGAGAAAAAAAAAAAGAAAUGUAUGCAUUCACUACUGUAAGUCGCUCUGGAUAAGAGCAUCUGCUAAAUGACUAAAAUGUAAAUGUAAUGCUCUCCACUUUCUGGAGCACCGAGUUUUGAAAUCAGUGGAACUCGAGUAUGAUAGCGAAGGAGAUGGAGAAAACAUCAGUCUGGAUUACAUCUUCAAACUAAGGGCAACCAUGCAUGGCAUCAGACAGGAGACGCAUCCAACCAUGAUGUAUACGGCAGGGUCUACUCAAUCAACGUAGAACGCCUGGGGAAAUCAGGCCAGAAGUCCACAGCUGCAGUUGGAACCUCAGCACGACUAGGGGCUCAGAUCCUCCGGGAGUAGAGAAACAGAGAGAAAAGGACAGUGGUUCUUGGUCCCCUGGCUGAGGCUGUCCCCCACGGCACCCCUCCAUCCCCCCCUGAAUGUCGAGAGAGGUCCAGCCUAUGUCGUCAGAUCCCUAUUGGACUCCCGACAUCGUGGGGAUUGACUCCAGUACCUGGUGGACUAGGAGGGGUACGGUCCAGAGGAGCGGUGUUGGGUUCCGGUGGAGGACAUUCUGGAUCCCAAAGUCAUCCGUGAUUUCCAUCUUAGCAGCUCGGACCGGCCCGCUCCUCAUCCUCGGGGCCAUCCUUUUGACCGGCGUCGUCCUGCG